AGUGAACGCUGGCGGUAGGCCUAACGCAUGCAAGUCGAACGGCAGCACAGUAAGAGCUUGCUCUUACGGGUGGCGAGUGGCGGACGGGUGAGGAAUACAUCGGAAUCUACUUUUUCGUGGGGGAUAACGUAGGGAAAAUUACGCUAAUACCGCAUACGACCUACGGGUGAAAGCAGGGGAUCUUCGGACCUUGCGCGAUUGAAUGAGCCGAUGUCGGAUUAGCUAGUUGGCGGGGUAAAGGCCCACCAAGGCGACGAUCCGUAGCUGGUCUGAGAGGAUGAUCAGCCACACUGGAACUGAGACACGGUCCAGACUCCUACGGGAGGCAGCAGUGGGGAAUAUUGGACAAUGGGCGCAAGCCUGAUCCAGCCAUACCGCGUGGGUGAAGAAGGCCUUCGGGUUGUAAAGCCCUUUUGUUGGGAAAGAAAAGCAGCAGGUUAAUACCCCGCUGUUCUGACGGUACCCAAAGAAUAAGCACCGGCUAACUUCGUG
rnacentral:rRNA from 1 species